ensembl:lncRNA MAILR macrophage interferon regulatory lncRNA
CAUUUCAAAAAAGAAAUUUAAGUCUGGUGGAUGGAUUUGAAGCUUGGGACAAGGAGACUAGUCUGAAGAUUGUCAGAGGAAUCCAGUUUUAUGGAUACUUCAAAAAUCAAGAAAGAAUAAGAAGAUAGUAAAGAAUGUUCCUCUCAGCCACCCUGCAUCCAUCCAUUUCCCACCCCAACCUGCAAAAGGUAACCACUGGAUGGGCCCGGUGGCUCACACCUGUAAUCCCAGCAUCUUGGGAGGCCAAGGUACAGCCAUGGCAGAAGAUGGCUGGGCACAAGGGACCAGCUGCACGCUGCUCCUGGAGUCAGCUCUCCAGGACAGGCCUCAACCUUGGGCCUCUUCAGAAGCACUGCUCCUAUUUCUUGCCAGCCGAUCUCAGCCCAAGCCACCCAAGUCUGCACCCCCCUGAGUACAGUGGAGAUAUUACAUUAACUUUGAAAUAAAAGGAGAGACUCUAGGUCUCACUGCUCCCUUCCA